UCUCGUCCCCCUUCCUCUCCUCCACCGCUGAUGCUUGCUGCCUCCCUCUCCUCCCUCUUCCUCACCUCUCGUCCCCCUUCCUCUCCUCCACCGCUGAUGCUUGCUGCCUCCCUCUCCUCCCUCUUCCUCACCUCUCGUCCCCCUUCCUCUCCUCCACCGCUGACGCUUGCUGCCUUCCUCUCCUCCCUCUUCCUCACCUCUCGUCCCCCUUCCUCUCCUCCACCGCUGACGCUUGCUGCCUCCCUCUUCCUCACCUCUCGUCCCCCUUCCUCUCCUCCACCGCUGACGCUUGCUGCCUCCCUCUUCCUCACCUCUCGUCCCCCUUCCUCUCCUCCACCGCUGACGCUUGCUGCCUCCCUCUCCUCCCUCUACCUCACCUCUCGUCCCCCUUCCUCUCCUCCACCGCUGACGCUUGCUGCCUCCCUCUUCCUCACCUCUCAUCCCCCUUCCUCACCUCUCGUCCCCCUUCCUCUCCUCCACCGCUGACGCUUGCUGCCUGUCCAUCUUGGUUUAAUGUCCCCCUCAAUGUGUAUAUUCACCAUCAUUGUUUAUUUUAACAUUCUAAGACUUGUAAUAAAAAAAUAAGAAGAAAUGUACCUUUUUUUUGUGAUAAUUGAUAGUCAGGUUGGGGGGGUACAACUCUUUUGGUUGUGAGGGUGAAUUUGUAAGUUUUUUAACAUUUUCCGUGUUGAAUGCUCCGUGUUUUAUGUAUGGUUCACAGGACCAUUGCUAGGGUACUAUAGGGGAGAAGACCACUUUUUUAAGUUAAAGUUCCAGGGUGCUUUGGGACCUGAAAAGUUGUCUUUAUAAUAUCCCAAUUUAUAUCUAUUUAUGUACAUCGGAGCAUUAGUUUGGGCAUAAAAUAUUAGUUUGAUUUGAUGAGUGUGUGUACAAUGAUCUCAGUAGUAAUCUGGUCUAUAUUGCUCUGAGAAACAGACCAGUAUGUUUAACACACUUGUUCUGAUGAGAAUGUUUUUUUAAAGUAUUUUUAAACGCUGAGUUUUAAGUUUUUAAUCAUUUUUAAAGUGAUUGCACUUUCAUCACCCUGUUUUUAUUCCACUUUUUAAAUAGUUUAUAGUGUCACCUUAUCUGUUCAAUCAGUGGUUCUCAAUCCUGGUCCUGGGGUCCCGAAGGGGGACACAUUUUAGUUUUUGCUGAUUUUAAAAUGAUCAACUGAUCAUCAAGCUUGGAUGAUUUGAAUCAGGUGUGUAGUGCUAGAGCAAAAACAGAAAUGUGUCCCCCUUUGGGUCCCCAGGACCAGGAUUGAGAACCACUGUAUUAGCUAGCUAGGUGACUCUACUAUGUUCUAGAACACAGCCAGAGAAUUCUACUGUAGAACACUAGAAGUUCUAGAACACGGCCAGUGGUUCUAUGUAAAACGUGCUGAAGAGUUCCAUUGACUUUGUGUGCAUGUAGCAAAUAAGAUCUAAAUGAAACAUAAAGACCAAGCCAGAAGGUUGCUCUUGGCUCGCUAACACUGUUAGCCAAUUUCCUACCCGGGAGACUCAGCCUGGGGGCUUAUUCAGUUUCGCAUAGAGGGCUAGCUUCACAUUUCUCUCCACACACUGUAGACUGUGUGGCAACUCUUUUCCUUUCCUCCCCUCAGGCCUUAUUUAAGGCUGUCGACUGUCAUCCUGUCUUACAUACAUCCCUCCACCCUUCUCUCCCUCCAUCUCUCCAUCCUCCAUCCUUCUCUCGCUCCAUCCCUCCAUCCUUCUCUCCAUCCCUCCACCCCUCCAUGCCUCCACCCUUCUCUCCCUCCAUGCCUCCACCCUUCUCUCCCUCCAUGCCUCCACCCUUCUGUCCUGCCAUCCCUCCACCCCAUCCCUCCAUCCCUCCACCCCUCAUCCCUCUGCCCUUCUCCCCCCUUUAAGAGUUUCUCUCUGAGCCCCAAGCCACUUAAGAAAGAGAGAGUUAGAGAGAGAGGGAUACUGUAGGAUCCAUCCCAAAUGACACCCUUCUCCCUAUAUAGACCAGGGUCCAUAUGACUCUAGUCUAAAGUAGUGCCCUACAUAGGGAAUAGGGUGCCAUUUGGGGCUCAGAGUUUGUUGACACUGAAUGUAGAAAUGACUGAUUGCCUUGUCAAAGAGAAUAAUACUGUGCUACAUCAGGAUGUAAUCCUGUUUAUUAUCUGGAGAAAUAAUAUCAACUGUAUCACUGUAAAUUCAAUAAAUACAGCAUUUUGGCUAAAAUAUCGGCCUUGUCUUGGUUGAUUGGUUGAUUGGUGAUUGGUUGGUUGGUGAUUAGUUGGUUGGUGAUUGGUUGGUUGGUUGGUGAUUGGUUGGUUGGUGAUUGGGUGGUUGGUUGGUGAUUGGUGAUUGGUUGGUUGGUGAUUGGGUGGUUGAUGGUUGGUUGGUGAUUGGUUGGUUUUUAUUUGAUAAUUAAAAUAUGAAGCAGCUCCAGAUGUAGACAACAUUAAAAUAAAAAUGGAGGAUAAAACACACAGACUGAAUUUAUUUCUGGUUUUCUGGUUCUGUGUCCUUUCCUGGAAACCACCAUCUUUUCAAGAAGCAGUGCCAGUAGAUUGUGAAACCGUGUAACAUUUCCAGAAAACGAGUAGAUGAAGUAAUAUUUUAUACGGUAGCUGUUCUUGUGCAAUAUUGUUUGGUGUGUAAAACUAACCGUUUUAUAAUGCGUAGUACUAGACCCGUCCCAAAUGGAACCCUAUUCCUUAUGUAGUGCACUACGUUUGACCAUGUGGAUCCUGGUAGUGCACUUCAAAAUUAGUGCACUUUAUCGUGAACACUUUAUCCCAAACAGGUUGUCAUUUGGGACGUAGUGGUGUGUGUGUGUGUGAUAUUGUGUUUGGCCCAAUAUAUUGAGGAAGUCCCACAUGUGACAAUACAACUGGGGUAGUCUGGGGUUAUGUUGAAAAUCUGGAGCAACUUUGCAAAAACAGGUCGUCACAAGUUGCGUCAUGACAUUUGUUCAUAUAAUGUAAAACAACAAGUAUUAACAGACUGGAAUGUAGCGAUAGUAGGGAAUUCCCAGUAGAAUUCCAUGAUCAUUUCAUCAUUCAGUAACACGUCAGACCAAGGGGUCUGGACUUUUAUGUCACGGGAGGUAGAGCACCGAUUAACCACCGUGUGUGUCAGCCCCAUCUUUCCUUUCAUCGAUCGGCAGGAAUGAAGACUCACUCAAUCUCUCACACACACACACACACACACACACACACACACACACACACACACACACACACACACACAUUACUACUACUACUACUACUACUACUACUACUACUACUUACUGUAGCCUUGGUAACUGACAGUUUUUGGGUGAAAUUUUACCUUUAAACAAUCUUUUGGUUUUUUGUCAUUAGUCCAUUAUUUAUUAGGGUGUACCGGUACAGAGUCAGUGUGGAGGCUAUAUACAGGGGGUACCGGUACCGAGUCAGUGUGGAGGCUAUAUACAGGGGGUACCAGUACCGAGUCAGUGUGGAGGUUAUAUACAGGGUGUUACGGUACAGAGUCAGUGUGGAGGCUAUAUACAGGGGGUACCGGUACCGAGUCAGUGUGGAGACUAUAUACAGGGGGUACCGGUACCGAGUCAGUGUGGAGGCUAUAUACAGGGGGUACCGGUACCGAGUCAGUGUGGAGACUAUAUACAGGGGGUACCGGUACCGAGUCAAUGUGGAGGCUAUAUACAGGGGGUACCGGUACAGAGUCAGUGUGGAGGCUAUAUACAGGGGGUACCAGUACAGAGUCAAUGUGGAGGCUAUAUACAGGGGGUACCGGUACAGAGUCAGUGUGGAGGCUAUAUACAGGGGGUACCGGUACAGAGUCAGUGUGGAGACUAUAUACAGGGGGCACCAGUACAGAGUCAAUGUGGAGGCUAUAUACAGGGGGCACCAGUACAGAGUCAAUGUGGAGGCUAUAUACAGGGGGCACCAGUACAGAGUCAAUGUGGAGACUAUAUACAGGGGGUACCGGUGCCGAGUCAGUGUGGAGACUAUAUACAGGGGGUACCGGUACAGAGUCAGUGUGGAGGCUAUAUACAGGGGGUACCAGUACAGAGUCAGUGUAGAGGCUAUAUACAGGGGGUACCAGUACCGAGUCAGUGUGGAGGUUAUAUACAGGGUGUUACGGUACAGAGUCAGUGUGGAGGCUAUAUACAGGGGGUACCGGUACCGAGUCAGUGUGGAGGCUAUAUACAGGGGGUACCAGUACCGAGUCAGUGUGGGGGCUAUAUACAGGGGUACCGGUACCGAGUCAAUGUGUGGGGCUACAGGUUAGUGGAGGUAAUCUGUACAUGAAGGUGGGGGUGAAGUGACUAUGAUUAGG
rnacentral:lncRNA from 1 species